UACGGAGGGUGCAAGCGUUAAUCGGAAUUACUGGGCGUAAAGCGCACGUAGGCGGUAAGUUAAGUCAGAUGUGAAAGCCCUGGGCUCAACCUGGGAACUGCAUUUGAUACUGGCUUGCUCGAGUUUGGUAGAGGAAAGUGGAAUUCCGGGUGUAGCGGUGAAAUGCGUAGAUAUCCGGAGGAACACCAGUGGCGAAGGCGACUUUCUGGACCAAAACUGACGCUGAGGUGCGAAAGCGUGGGUAGCAAACAGGAUUAGAUACCCUGGUAGUCCACGCUGUAAACGAUGUCAACUAGCUGUUGGAUCCAUUCAAGGAUUUAGUAGCGUAGCUAACGCGCUAAGUUGACCGCCUGGGGAGUACGGCCGCAAGGCUAAA
rnacentral:rRNA from 1 species